UCUUUGUGAGAGUCUAGAUAAAGUCCUAUCUUUGCCUAGAUGCACUCGGCGACUGGUAUAACCUGGCUAGAUAGAAAAGUACUUCUUGACUAUUAAAUAUGGUUCUGUUUAAAUUAUUUUAAUAUUAUUUGUGUUCAUUAUUAAAUUAAAAUAUUUGUAUAUUAGUUUAGUGUUAUCGAAAAGGUACAUUUGUGAUAUUGUGACGUGUUAUAAUUAUUGUUGCAUUUACUUGUGUUUUGAAUGUGUUAUUAAAUUUAUGCCUAUAAUAAUGUGUGCAAAACUAUGAAUUAUGCACUAAAAUGGAUUCUUUCCGUAGUUUGGGUUGUGGCUUAAAAUGACCUGCAUUUGAUUGAAAAAAAGCAGAGUGGAAUAGAACCCAAUCUCAAGCAAUGGGUGCCUUAAGAUUUUGUUCACCACAAUCAUCAAUCAGCCGUCUUCGAUCCACCAGCCAAGUAAAUAAGAGUUUAAAUCAAACGUAUGGUGACGGGGAUUCAAUAUCAAAAUCAAAAUAUACUUUAUCCAAGAAAAUGUUAUUGAGGCCUUUAAGAUGGCAUGCAUCAGCUAGGUGAAGACUGCGUUGAGAGAAGCAAUGAAUCCCAAGGAUGUACCACCACUACUAUAAAAUACUACAAGACAAAUUCGUUGCAUUAUCAAAACUAACAAAGUUUAUACUUAUUCUAGCGACCCGAACCGGCUUUACAUACACGCCUGCAAGCAGCUUACGGUCUCAAAAACACAACCUUACUUCAAAGUAUUUUCAAUAUAUUAUCAAUACGGAAUUACGAGUGAGCUAGAAAAUAAAAACCGGCAUUAGAAAAUCAACUUAGAUAUAACAGAGAAAAAUAAAUCAUCGUCCCACGCACGCGACCUAGCCCAACGGACACACGCAGAGUGAAAAGGACAAAAAAAGUCGGAGCAGGAAAAAAAGCAUCGAGCGCGAAUACACCCGAGGGGAAUGAACUGCGAAAAAUAAGACGAAAACGUUCGCCCGCGCACAUGUGCGUUCGGCCAUUUUUUUCUCGUCGUCCCGCUCUAGCGCCAAAAAUGGGCUCAUAUCGGGCGCGUGCGAGUGAGACGGGAGAAAAGAAAGCGCGAAAGAGUUGGUCGCCGUUGGUUCUGUGCGUUGCCGCGCGCGCUGCUGAGCUGGGAAAUUUCUUCCUGUUUAGACGUAUACUCCUUACCAUUUUGGUUCGUUCUCCAUUAUUCGAUAAUGUUAGUUAUUUGCUAGAUUAACGGAAUGCUUUAGUGCCGUAACAGUAUUCAAAUGAAUGUUUCCUUUAAUUAUUCAACUAUAUAAUGUUUUUUGAUAUACGUAAGAUCAUGUCUUAUAUUGAUAUGUUAAUAUAAAGUAUUUAUUAUCAUAACGUGUCUAUUUCGAAACUAGUUGUAUUAAAAUAAAUUAAAAACUAAUUAAAUAAUGCAGUUGUAAUGUCUUCCUACACAACGUGUUACUAUAGCUGAUUCUGUGUCGAUGCAGGGCAAAUUGACCUAUAAUAGAUUGCAAAUAAGGGCUAUGUUUCAUUCAGGUAUUCUAAUGAAUCUGUCGGACGGUGAUUUAGCGUUCUCGAGGGACCUUUUUAAUUGAUGCCUUUUUCUCGGCAUGUUUAUAGCGUAGUUGUUAAGGUCUAGUUGUAUUUUACAUAAGAUUUUUUUUUCUAAGAUUAAGAU